CGGCACCUCUAAAAAUAGUUAUGGAUCUGGCUUCUUUAAAGGAGUAGCUCCUCAACAAAAGCAUGUGCUUUUUACAAAUCGUUUGGCAAAACGGCUCCUCGUGUAUUAUUUUUGUAUUAUUUGAUUUGGAGUAAAACGAUCUCGCUGCCAGCUGCAUCAGCGCAUGGACGACCAAUGCUUUGCUCACCGUGCAACCUUCUUGAAUCACAUCAUGGGGGUGGCUUGGAGAGAGGUGUCUGCUCGAGGAGAGACGCAGUGCCCAUACGUGGAGCCGUGGAGAGCCAAAAAUUUGAGCUCCGGCUCUCAGCCGUAUUCUAGCUCCUGCUCUUGCUCAAGAGCUGUUUUGUGGGUAGCGUUUGGGAGAGCUUCAGCGAGAAGUCGGUACUGGAGCUGCCGAGGAGCCCUCCCAAACGGCCACUUACCUGAAAAUGUCAAAAACCUCCGAAGUUUGUUGUGAUUGUUGCAAUUAACAUGACUGACUUCGGGUUUUUGAGUUUCUUCCCCAUGUGUCGUUGUUGCCACCGGCUAUACCAGCAGGCUGUGAGUAGAGUUCAGCGAAGUCUA
rnacentral:lncRNA from 1 species